CAACUUUCAACAACGGAUCUCUUGGCUCUCGCAUCGAUGAAGAACGCAGCGAAAUGCGAUACGUAAUGUGAAUUGCAGAAUUCAGUGAAUCAUCGAAUCUUUGAACGCACCUUGCGCCCCUUGGUAUUCCGAGGGGCACAACCGUUUGAGUGUCGUGA
rnacentral:rRNA from 1 species